UACAGAGGGGGCAAGCGUUGUUCGGAAUUACUGGGCGUAAAGGGCGCGUAGGCGGCCCGCUAAGUCGAACGUGAAAUCCCCGAGCUCAACUCGGGAACUGCGUCCGAUACUGGUGGGCUUGAAUCCGGGAGAGGGAUGCGGAAUUCCAGGUGUAGCGGUGAAAUGCGUAGAUAUCUGGAGGAACACCGGUGGCGAAGGCGGCAUCCUGGGCCAACACUGACGCUGAGUGAGCGAAAGCCAGGGGAGCAAACGGG
rnacentral:rRNA from 1 species